rnacentral:rRNA from 1 species
GACGAACGCUGGCGGCGUGCCUAAUGCAUGCAAGUCGAGCGAGCUACAGUCUUCGGACUGUAGCUUAGCGGCGAACGGGUGAGUAACACGUAGGUGAUCUACCCUUCAGAGGAGGACAACUUCAGGAAACUGAGGCUAAACCUUCAUACGUUCACUGGUAGGGAUACUGGUGAAGAAAGAGUUACCGUCAAGGUAGCUGCUGAAGGAUGAGCCUGCGGCCCAUCAGGUAGUUGGUGAGGUAACGGCUCACCAAGCCGAAGACGGGUAACCGGUCUGAGAGGAUGUCCGGUCACACUGGGACUGAGACACGGCCCAGACUCCUACGGGAGGCAGCAGCAGGGAAUCUUGGGCAAUGGGCGAAAGCCUGACCCAGCGACGCCGCGUGGAGGAAGAAGUCCUUCGGGGCGUAAACUCCUGGACUGGGGGACGAGAAAGGACGGUACCCCAGUAGAAAGGGACGGCUAACUACGUGCCAGCAGCCGCGGUAAAACGUAGGUCCCGAGCGUUGUUCGGAUUCACUGGGUGUAAAGGGCGCGUAGGUGGUUGUCUGUGUCUCAUGUGAAAACUCAGGGCUCAACUCUGAGAUUGCGUGGGAAACUAGGCAGCUAGAGGACGGUAGAGGGGAGUGGAAUUCCCGGUGUAGCGGUAAAAUGCGUAGAUAUCGGGAGGAACACCGGUGGCGAAGGCGGCUCUCUGGGCCGAUCCUGACGCUGAGGCGCGAAAGCUAGGGGAGCGAACC